CCACAGAUGUUCCAAGAAAGAUGGUGGGGAUAACAGUAAGCAGAAUUUGGCAUCUGUUGAGAAACUUUGUUUGAGAAGAGAGCUGUUUGCAAGACUCAAGUUUACAGGGAAAGGUGUGAACCUCAUAGACACAUCAUUGUAGACAUGUCCAAGGCCAUGGAUUGUUAUCCAGAAGGUGUCCAGUAUCCUUUGUCUGUUGAGCUGGCAAUGGGAAAUAGGUGGGGUAUAGCAACUACAGAAACUACCUGGCUUUGUCCCCUGGAGUGUAUCCUGCAGAGCAUUCAGGGCUUGACUUCACCAGGAUCCUGGGUUUGUCAGAAUGGAAAGAGAGCUCGGCUGGGAUCAGCUAGCAACAGGGGCUGCGGCAGGCUGAAGAGCAUAAAGGUAAAAACAACAACAACGACAACCCAUGUUAUCAUCUUUGAGAGAGUUAAAAAACAUAUGCCUCCCCUCUAGUACUCCAGACUAUUGAGCUUUAUCAGUUUUUACUGCAAACUACAAAUGCUUUUUGUGUAACGACAGCUCUUUAAUUAGAACUUGGAAGCAACAAUAUCUGCUGAUUAUAGCAUGGUCCAGCAUGCUCAUAUUCCUCAGUUUUAUUUCCAGCUCUGCAACUAAAUUGUUGCAUGCCUCAAGACAAGUGACUUCAUGUCUUAGUGCCUUUACUUCCACAGACAGGCUUAAAACCUCUGCGGGAGAUCCCUGGAGAGAAUCUGCGAUGCCAGCAGAGAAUCUUGGGUUGCUUCUCCAUCCUGUAAACGUUUGGCAACUCUUGUGCCAAUCCAACUGAUAGCAGGUCAGGAUUCGUCUCGUCUAGGCAUACCCCUGUGAGACACUACAGGUUUAAACAAUGGAAAUUUUACAGGCUUCAAUUAACUGCCUGGGCAAGAAACAACAGCUUCACGGUAAUGAGUCCUCACUUGCAUGGAAUGCCAUGUAAUACAUGAUCUCUGUUCACCAAAGAGAGGUACUAAAAUCUGUUCUUCUAGAGAGCAUUUCUAGAGUGACAAAAAAGGGGAGAAUCCUUCUCCAUUUGAAAUCAAUACUGUAUUCUGUUUAUAAAAGGGUUUGUUUCCCAGGAGGGAUAUUAUAUACUCUUAUGGAAAAAAUGAAGCAUUGUAGUUCAAAAAGAGACAUCAGGACUAGUUCUACUGUCUAAAAUCCCUCCCCCCACCUCAAUGGGGGUCUUGUUGUAGAUGAAGAAAGAUGUCAGUGGCUGCUGUGGCAUCGCUCUGUAAAUCUUCAUUUUGGGAUUGCCAGUUUGAACAACAGGAGUAGAAUAUUUAUGUUUACAGGUAGCGACAGCAGCAUGCUGCACAAAUAUCUGUUGAGUCUCAUUUGAAGUCAUUGCAGUCCCUCUUAUUAGGAACUUCAAAUGAAGGCACAGAAAGGUUCUUUAAAGUAGCCCCAAACUCUAGAUCAAACUGAGGCAAAGUCAGAAGUGAAGUACCUAAGAAAAUGGGAGUCAAAUCAUUAUUGAGAAGUGGCAGAAUGGGGAAUAAAUUAAUGUUGUGUAUGCUAAUGGGCA
rnacentral:lncRNA from 1 species